rnacentral:rRNA from 1 species
AUUCAUCGUCAGCUCAUUUUGUAUAUGUACAANGUUAUGAUGUGAGUUACUCUNUGUAGUAUUGCUUGUACGUACUUGUGCAUUUAUUUGCAAGAUGUUGUCGGCGUGCACUUCUCCUCUAGUAGGACGUCGCGACCCGUUGGGUGUCGGUCUACGACCCGAGUGGGAGACUUUAAUAUUUUNAUAAUAUUAAAGACCCUUGGUGUUUUCUGACCGACUGCCCGGCGGUACUCGUACGGUAUUUAGCCGCAUUUAUUUGC